UGGACGCUGGGGAUGCAGCCACCUAGUUUCUGAAACUGGGAAAAGGUCUGGGGGCUCCGGAGCCCCCACCUCCAUGCAGCCUCAGAUGUUGCUUAGCAACAGAUGCGCGCUCUGGGGCAGCUGCAGGGGCUCAGGACCUACGGAGUGCAAGUGAAGACACCUAUGUUGCAUCUUGCUGGAGAGGCACCUGGCACCUGCCCGCCCCAGCGUGCCUGGAGGGUUCCCACAUCCAGACGGACAGACGGGCCAGGGGACACCCGUCCAGGCAGCCAUGGCUGCUCAGCCACAGUCCCUGGAGGGUCAGGGGCCCAGCUGUGAGGCAGGCGGUGCCCAAGACGCUCUCUGGACCGCACUGCUUCAUCUGAGAGAAAGACUUUUGGAAGGCAUAGGUUGGGGCUCGCCUGGGAACCCCUCUCCAUCCCCCACCCAGACUCCAGCAGGC
rnacentral:lncRNA from 1 species